rnacentral:rRNA from 1 species
AACGAACGCUGGCGGCAUGCCUAACACAUGCAAGUCGAACGAGACCUUCGGGUCUAGUGGCGCACGGGUGCGUAACGCGUGGGAACCUGCCCUUAGGUUCGGAAUAACUCCCCGAAAGGGGUGCUAAUACCGGAUAAUGUCUUCGGACCAAAGAUUUAUCGCCUUUGGAUGGGCCCGCGUUGGAUUAGCUAGUUGGUAGGGUAAAAGCCUACCAAGGCGACGAUCCAUAGCUGGUCGGAGAGGAUGAUCAGCCACACUGGGACUGAGACACGGCCCAGAAUCCUACGGGAGGCAGCAGUGGGGAAUAUUGGACAAUGGGCGAAAGCCUGAUCAAGCAAUGCCGCGUGAGUGAUGAAGGCCUUAGGGUUGUAAAGCUCUUUUACCCGGGAUGAUAAUGACAGUACCGGGAGAAUAAGCUCCGGCUAACUCCGUG